rnacentral:snRNA from 1 species
GUGCCCACUUUGGCAGCAUGUAUACUAAAAUUGAUACAAUUCAGAGAUAGCAUGACCCUUGCUCAACGUUGACACACAAAUUCAUGAAGCAUUCUAUAUUUUU